rnacentral:rRNA from 1 species
GGCGGCGUGUUUAAGACAUGCAAGUCGCACGGGGAUAUUUUGGUAGUAAUACUUGAAUAUUCUAGUGGCGCACGGGUGAGUAACACGUGAAUUACAUGCCCUUCAGUGGGGAAUAGCCCAGGGAAACUUGGAUUAAUACCCCAUGGUAUCGCAAGAUUAAAGGUGGCCGCAAGGCUGCCGCUGAAGGAUUGGUUCGCGCCCUAUCAGCUUGUUGGCGAGGUAACGGCUCACCAAGGCUACGACGGGUACCUGGUUUGAGAGGACGAUCAGGCACACUGGAACUGAGACACGGUCCAGACACCUACGGGUGGCAGCAGUCGAGAAUAAUUCACAAUGGGGGCAACCCUGAUGGUGCAACGCCGCGUGGAGGAUGACGGUCUUCGGAUUGUAAACUCCUGUCAUCUGGGAGUAAGACCUGGCAGUUAAUAGCUGACAGGGUUGAUAGUACCAGAAGAGGAAGGGACGGCUAACUUCGUGCCAGCAGCCGCGGUAAUACGAAGGUCCCGAGCGUUGUUCGGAAUCACUGGGCGUAAAGGGAGCGUAGGCGGCGUGGUAAGUCAGAUGUGAAAUCCCGGGGCUCAACCCCGGAACUGCAUCCGAUACUGCCGUGCUAGAGUGAUGGAGAGGUAGCUGGAAUUCUUGGUGUAGCAGUGAAAUGCGUAGAUAUCAAGAGGAACACUCGUGGCGAAAGCGAGCUACUGGACAUUUACUGACGCUGAGGCUCGAAGGCCAGGGUAGCGAAAGGGAUUAGAUACCCCUGUAGUCCUGGCAGUAACGGUGCACGCUUGGUGUGAGGGGAAUCGACCCCCCUUGUGCCGGAGCUAACGCGUUAAGCGUGCCGCCUGGGAAGUACGGUCGCAA